GUGCUUGCUUGUUGAAACAAAAAGAAAAUAAAAUAUUAAAAGGAAAAAGGGUUUUGUAAUUUUCAAGAGAAACCACCCAAAACCCCCCUACGCACUGCUGCUUAAUCCACCACCAAAUGCCCAAAUUCAAGAUCCUAAGCAAUCUCGUCCGUGCAGCCAUCAAAACCACCACCGCCUCCACCACCACCGCCAGUGACACGACUUUCAAAAGCCUCGUCAGCCAUUUCGAAUCCAUAACACCCCCCAAACCAGAAACUUCUUCCAAGUCCAAAAAACAACCUGAAACUAAACCCCAAUCUCCUCCGUCACCCGCGGUUAAAUCUAGCCCUGGUGCUCUUGGAUUAGAAGACUUUUAUUCUGAAACAAUCCCGACAGCAAAAGACAUGGCAAAGACAGCAAAAGUCAUAGAAAAGAUUAUAAAUGAUGUUUUGAAAAUUAAAUCGCUAGGUUUGGAAGAAGCAGAUGAUGAGAAAGUUGUAGAAAACGUUUUCAAGACACCAUGGCUUUCAAACUGGAAGAAAAACAAUAUAGGUAUACAGCGGAAAGAAAUAUCUUAUGAAAGGAAACAAAAAUGGAUUUUCAAAAAUAGUCAGGUCUAUUGUUUUGACCGAUUAGUUGACACAUGUGCCUUCAAGCUGGGGACAGAUGCUACAAUGGAUGUGUUUGGAAUGUUGGGAAGGGAAACAGGUUUGAAAGAGUUCAAUGCAUUGAUGAAGAUGUGCAUUGAGCAAUGUAGGGAAACUGAUGAUGAGAAUGUUGCGAAGGAACAGAUUUCUGAAGUUCUUGAACUUUUUAUAUCAAUGAAGGAGCAAGGUUUCCCAAUAGAGGAGGAAACUUAUGGUCCAUUUCUUAUGCUUUUAAUUGAUAAGGGUAUGGUGGAAGAAUUUUAUUUCUUCUAUGGCAUUAUCAAAGAUACAAAUCCUAGCGAAAUUGCACGAUUAGGCUAUUAUGAUAUGUGUUUUUAUAUCAGAGUCAAUGAUGAAAAGAAGAUUCAGGAACUUUGCAAUUGUAUUUGUACUGAUUAUGGGGACGAGAAUAUCAGUUUACGAGAAAAUUAUUUACUGGCACUCUGUGAAAGUGACCAGAAGAAUUACCUGUUGCAGCUGUUAGAGACUGUGGAUAUCACAAAACUUUCAUUGUUGGGCAAUGCAGUCAGUAUCUUUAAAUCCUUAGGGAGGCUAUCAUUGGAGUACUAUGUGGAGAAGUUCCUUUUGGUGCUCAAAAAUUGUGAUUAUGGAGCGGAGGAUAUUUCAACUCUCAUCUUUAGUUAUGCUACUAGCAUUCCAAAUUUAGCGGUUGAGGAUGUUGUUUCAAAAUUCAAAACCUUACACACAGUAAUGGAGAUGAGUCCUUCUUCAACUUCAUAUGAGAGGCUCAUUGUAUACAGUUGCAAUUCACUUAAGGUGCAUCAUGCUAUUGAUAUGGUAGACCAACUGUGUGAAGAGGGUUUCACCAUAUCCAUAAACACAAUACAUUCUAUGUUGAAUGCUAGUGAGGCAAGCCUUGAUUUUAAUUUGUUCAGUUCUCUUGAUUCAACAAGCAAGACAGCCUUUUGCUUUCAUGUUCAGCGAAUCUAUUCAUUGAUUUAUCACCUGGACUUGACACCAACUAAUGAGACAUUUAGGAGAAUGAUAGGUUUGAGUGUGAAAAUGAAAGAUUUUGAUGGUGCAAUUGGUCUGCUCAAUGAUUUGAAGAAAUUGAAUUUGACACCGACAGCUGGCAUGUAUAAUGCUAUAAUGGAUGGAUAUUUUCGAGAGAAAAACAUUAGUGGUGCAUUAAUGGUUCUGGAGCAAAUGAAACUUGCAGAUGUGAAACCAGAUUCUGCAACUUACAGUUGUUUAAUAAGUAAUUGCGACAAUGAAGAUCAAAUUACCAAGGUAAUUUGAGACUUAUAUUUUAGUCAAGUGUUAUGAAGAAAUGAAGGUUGCUGGAAUUCAAGUUUCGAAGCAAAGUAUAUAUGGCGCUCAUUGAUGCAUAUGCAACAUGUGGGAAAUUUGAGAAGGCCAAACAGGCAAAGCAAGGCUAAAGAGUCUAGAUUUGUUAUGCGCAAGAUUCAUCGGCAACAACCCAGCAAAAGGGUGGGUAAGUUACGGUGUCCAAAAAGCAACAAUGGCAGGUUAAACAGAGCAAUGAAGGCAACAUCAAAAUCAAUUAUGAAAGUGCAAAGAGUUUGCUCAAUUUUCUCUGCAGGUGAUUUGCUCAAGCUUGCUGACAACAUCUGUAAGCAACGCAACAAAGGGUGAACAGCUAGCAAUCCUGCAACUAAGGAAAAAUGAAAGUUCGAGGAAGAGAUCCAAAGAUGUAUCUCAUGAAACAAGUGAUUAAUAUAUGACAAAAACCCUCAAGCAAGAUGGGAAAAGCAUGUGUGAACAAGCAGUGAAAGCAUAGAGUGACAUUGUAUAAGCAGUGUUGUUGCAAAUGGAAAAGCAUUUCCCUUCUAUAAGUA